AUGAAUGACGAGCUGAAUAAGCCCUAUACAAGAGAGGAAGUUAAAAAAGCUUUAUUUAAUAUCGGUGAUUUAAAAGCUCCUGGUCCGGAUGGGUUACAUGCUAUUUUUUACAAACGAUUUUGGCAUAUCAUUGGUGAGGAUUUGGUUGAUGAAGUACUGAUGGCUGUUAAUCCUAGGAAGAUUCCAGAAGGGUGGAAUGAUACCACUGUCGUGGUCAUAUCGAAGGUUGAUGAUCCAUCAGUCAUAACUCAGUUUUGGCCAAUCAGUUUAUGCAACAUGGUGUAUAAGGUGAUCUCAAAAUUACUAGCUAAUCGUCUAAAACAUAUUUUGUGUGAGAUUAUAUCUCCCAAUCAAAGUGCGUUCGUUCCGGGACGUCUUAUCAUGGAUAAUUUUUUGGUAGCUUUUGAGUCAUAUCAUGCAAUCAAAAAGAAGACUACAGGCAAAUAUGGGACAUGUGCGGUUAAGCUUGACAUGCACAAGGCAUAUGACAUGGUCGAGUGGACUUUUUUGGAGACCAUACUGUUGCGUCUAGGGUUCACACCAAACUGGGUGGCAAUGAUCAUGGAAUGUGUACGUACAAUGAAAUAUCAGGUACGAGUAAACAAUGUGUUAACUGAUUUUUUUGUCCCUUCCAGGGGACUCUGACAGGGAGACCCUUUAUCACCAUACUUGUUUUUGCUCUAUGCUGAGGGCCUGACAAGCUUGAUCACAUAUGAGGAGGAGGCUGGUAAUAUUAUGGGAGUGAAGGUGUGUCGUGAUGCUCCUUCGGUAUCUCAUCUUUUAUUUGUGGAUGACUCUCUUAUCCUUAUGCGAGCAGACGCCACUAAUGCUAUCAGCCUCCGGCGGGCACUUGAUGAUUAUUGUGUAGCUUCUGGACAAAUGGUGAGCGAGGCCAAGUCCAGUAUUUCCUUUAGUCCUUGCACCCCUAUUGAUACUAGAGUGGAGGUUUGCACUGCACUAAAUAUCAUGGUGGAAGCCAUCACGGAUAAAUAUUUGGGAUUGCCUCCAAUUGUAGGUGUGGACAGAACAGAUUGUUUUCAACACCUCAUUGACAGAGUUUUGAGUAGAAUAAGAGGUUGGAAGGAGCAAUUGUUAUCCUAUGGAGGUAGGGAAGUGCUACUUAAGGCUGUCAUACAAGCUAUUCCUUCUUACGCUAUGUCAGUUUUUAAACUACCCAAACAUGUUUGCAAUAGUAUCACCACAACUAUGUCUAAAUAUUUGUGGGGAGAUGAUGAUCUGCAAAAACACAUUCACUGGUUUGCUUGGUGGAAAAUGUGUGUCCCAAAGGAGAAGGGUGGAAUGGGUUUUAGGGACUUGCAUUGUUUUAAUUUGGCUCUUUUCACAAAGCAGUGUUGGAGGUUGUUAUGUGAACCAAAUUCUUUAUGUGCUAGAGUUUUGAGAGCCAAAUAUUUUCCUGAUGGAGACCUUCUUAACUGCGGCCUUAAGAAGGGUAGUUCUUAUACAUGGGAGAGUCUAUGGAGUGGAAUUCAGUCUUUUAAAUGA
rnacentral:rRNA from 1 species